AACAUAUUUCACCCUUCUCGCUCAAAGGGGACUCAGAGUGGAGCACAACAUAUAUAUGGCAGACAUUCCGUGCCAGAACAUAAAAUAAACUAUAAAUAUACAUAAACACUAAAACCAGUCAUUUCCAAUUUAAAAUCAAUUGUUUAAGCCAAAGGGCAAGCAAUGGUUGAAGAAAUGUCAAUUCCAUGAUUUACUGCACAACCAGGAUUUACCCUUCUUGUCUUCUUUCUUCAUAACAGGAUCAUCAAAGCAGCUGGGAGCGACUGCAGAAGACAGCCGCGCAUAGGGAAAAAGCGGAUAUCCCGAAUCUCUGUGGCAGUUCCAAAUCCAUUCGUCUAUGUUUCUGCGAUGACCCAACAUGUGUGGCGUGUGAUGAGGCAAUCAAGGCCAUGUAUUUCUGUGACCAUUUCAAUACCUUUUCUGUACUCCUCUGCGAUGACCCAACAUGUACAGUUUGUGAUACACUAGGCGAGGAGGUCAUACAGUUGAAUUAACUCAGAGGGAAUAAAUCUUCCCCAGACCCUU